CCUCAUCUGGUUGCCCUGCCAAUACGAGUGACAAAUCUUUACAGUGAACAAGAGCAUUAUCCCACAUCAGAACAUGUGGUCUGGAACUAAGGCCUGGCCUGGUACUGGCUUUGCCUCCUCCUUCCAGGUGAUCGAGUGCUCUGCUUUCCUCGAAUUUUCUAUAAUGAUCAUGUCUGACCUAGAAAAUAUUUCAAAAUGAUUCAACUAACAGAAAUGACUCAGCCACUGAGAAUGACACGUGUCAUUCCAGAUCGCCUUCACAGAAACCUCUGGAGCUGGGCCCCUCACCCUGGUGAUGCUGACUUUGACAAAGGGCAGAGGUGGGCCCCAAAGCCACCACUCCCUGACAUCUGGGGCCAGAAGGAAGAUGUGGCCACAUUUUAACCUCUGCCUCCUUCCCUGGACAGAGAAGACUACAUUGUGGAUUUAGCCAAGUCUAAGCUGGCAUCCCAGUGCCAUUACACAGUCUCUUUACCUACUACGGCCUUGCCUCUUCUAUAAAUUUGUGGAUAAUUCCACUCAUAGAAUCCUAAAUGAGAGGAGGGGUAAGAGCUUAGUACUAUACCCACACAGCCACCAGCCUGGAGUUGGUGUGGGCAUGCAUUCCUCGUGUGUGUGUGUGUGUGUGUGUGUGUGUGUGUGUGUGUGUGUGUGUGUGUGUGUGGUCUCUCUUCUGAUAAAGGAUCCAUGAUGGGUUUUAGCAUGCUCUUCUGAAAGCUUUGGAUGAAUUUAUGAGUUCUAUUUUACAACCUGCUGGCCCUGUACCAGGAGAGGUUUAUAGGAGUCUCUUGGUUCUGUGUGGACAGGGCUGCUUCUGCUCUUCUCUCUUCACAGCAAAUGCAGAAGAGCCUGGUGGACAGUUUCGGUGUUUUCUGGAUUCUCUUUCUUUUCUGUCUGUGGCGUGUGAUGUGUGAGUGUCUACCACAGUGCACGUGUGGAGGUCAGAGGACAACCUCCAGUGAAGAUUGGUCCUGGCCUUCUACUUCACGUGAGACAGGUCUGUUAUUGUUUGUUGCUGUGUACACCACGCUCACCAGCUUCCACCAUCUCCCUGAUUCCAUCCCCCAUCUCACCGUAGAAGUGCUAGGGUUGUAGAUGACUGUUAUCAUGCCUGGCUUCAUGUGGGUUCUGGGGAUCCAAACGCAGGUUCUCAUAUUGGUACAGCAAGCCCUUUACCCACUGAGCCAUCUUCUAGGGCCUGAAUCUACUUUCAGUAGAUUCCAUAGACCUCACCCGAGGUGCACUUUAUCAGCAGGAAAGGCAGUAAACAAUUGCAAAAGAUAAUCUCCCUGCCCCCAGUAAGAGACAGAUGACCUUGAAGGGAACGACACUAUCAGCAUGGUCGUGACAACCAUCCUCAUCACCACCAGCAGUAUCUCUCCAGCUUCAUCAAGCGUCAUCGUCACCAUCAAAACAUGACAAUCAGGUGACAGCUAGUGGAGGUUGGUGUGGUCCACAUCUUCCCUUCCCCCUGGUUCUUGCUCUUGCGCCCCAAGUACUUGGAAGCUUUCAGUGCCCCUUUCUAGAGACCACCACCGUUGCCAUUAGGUGACUUGGCCAGGGAGGAGGGCAUAUGGGUGAUGGGGCUGCCCUGGCAAGGAGUGUGUGUGCCAUUGCAGAGUAAUCUUGCACUGGCACCAUCGGGGCAAUGUGGGCGAGACCAGCACAGCGCAAGGCCAAGUGCAAAUUGUUUUAAAAUGCACAAAUGAGCUUGGUUCAGGUGCUGCCAAAGAAUUCUCCAUUUCAGCAGAGAGUUAUUUUGUGCACUUUUACUACGCUUAUCCAAUAAAAGCACAACUGUUCAUGGAGUCGUUAAGCUGUGCUUUUAGGAGAUGCCGUCAAGGAAAGCAGGCCACAAAUCGAGCCUGAUUUGCUCAACGGGUUGGGAGCUGCCUUUUGUCAAAGCCACAUCAAACCUGCAGUCUGCGGGCUCUCCUUCCCCUGUGAAAUUGUCACUCUGAGCACUUGGAAUGGAUUCCGUUCUGUGAGACCUUCAGUCAUGCAGAGUGCCCACGUGCGCUCAGGCCUGUGAUGUGGCGGCUGACCUCAGGGAGCCACGGAGGAAGGAGGAUGCUGUAGGAAAACAGGUGGCGUGGGGCGUGGCCACUGGGGGAGUGAGAAAAGGAGGACAUAAUGUCGUCUACCAGAAGCCUUUCUGUCUGGGGCUCCACUUCACUGCUGGCCUGGGUAGUCUCAUGGACUGCCCAUGACUACUACAGUCCUUGCUGUCAAAAGCAAGAUUAAGGGCAUGGGGGAGAAUGGGGAGACGUUCUGAGACCCACUUGAUCUUUUUCGGUUCAGAAAACAAAGUUUUCUAUUCACUCACCCUGGGUCUUUGUUUUUUUGGUUAAAGUUGGGUGAUUUGUUUUUUUUUUACUCCUGGCACUUGGGGCUUAGUCCAUGACUGCUCUGGUCCAAAAGGGAUUCUUCCAGCAAGGAGCAAGGGAGCAGAGCAGAGGUCAUCAUGUAGGUAAAUGCUGCACGCCACAAUUUGCAAAUAGUUUGGGAUGAGGCGGUGAUUUGUAACAGGCAGGUAGGAUUUUGACUCUUUCCUGGGAGUUCAAGGAGAGGGGAUAAGAACCUGGAAUCCUUCCCAUGCAAAUAAAAUCAGAUCACGCUGUCCUGGAGGUGCCUAAUCUGCUCUGGAGGAGACUACAUACUUCACCUCUUGUCUCCAAGGCCUACAACGUGAGAGACCCUUCACGAGCUAUUCACGGAAUGAACGAAUGCAUCCACACUGCUGGCAAGGGGUUUUCUUAAACAAAAUGGCAGCAGCAGACCAGAAAGCCCUGGAGUGGCAUGCUGGGACUCAGGCUUAUAGUCACAUACCACUCAGGUAUAGCUGUGUUAGCAGCUGACCCAGGUCAAGUCCCCUAGCCCCUUGGUGUCCACAAUCUCUCAGGAUGUCAUGGGAAGAUUAAAUGAGCAGGUGUACAUUGUAUAUCAUGUACCUGGCACACACCGAGCAUGGAAGACACAGCAGCUGUCUGUAUUUUAAGCUAGAUCCUUGUGAGCGAUGAGGAGGACUCAUAUUUUAGUAGUAACAGGAUCUUUCAGUCCCCAGCAGCUCCCAGGGACAGGAUUUUGACAGUGUUUGGAGAAUGCAAAGCUAUCUGUCCUGGGUGGUGGUUUUUGUUGUUGCGUUUGUUUUGUUUUGUUUUGUCUGUCACAGGAAAGUCAUAUGCUGACCCUAGGGUUUAGUGAACACAGUCACAUGUCAAAUGAGGCCACCUUGUCCUUGGGGUGGGUCCACGGAAAGUCUAAUGGCUCAGUUUCCCACAGACCAAGGUCAGCCCAUGAAAGCCAGGCCUCUGCUGAGCAUGGAGAAAGAUUGUUGCUGUCUGCUGGCUCUGUCCCCAGGGGCUGGCCCCCUCAUUCCGAACUACUCGCUCUGUCGCCGACUCUUCCCCCUAGUUAGACUGCCUUAAAAUAUAAUUGCAAGCAAUAGAAACCAAGUGUUGCAUUAUCAUAACCCAGUUCUGAAAAUGAAAAUUGGGCAGAGUGAGGCAGCCACACAGUGGCAUUAACAACAGCACAGGCUAACUUAAUUAGAGAGAUGCUUUGAGGCAUCGGGCAGGAAGUGAAACAGCUUUCAAUGGCAAACA